CCUACGGGUGGCAGCAGUGAGGAAUAUUGGACAAUGGGCGCGACCCUGAACCAGCCAAGCAGCGUGAAUGAAGACGUCCCUCCGGGUUGUAAACUCUAUCUAUAAAGGAAUAAAGUGAGGCACUACUGCACUUUUGAACGUCCUUUAAGUACAAGGAUCGGUUACCUCCGUGCCAGCAGCCGCGGUAAUACUUCGGAUGCGCGCGUUAUCCGGAUUUAUUGGGUGUAAAGGGAGCGUAGAUGGGGUGUUAAGUCAGUUGUGAAAGUUUGUGGCUCAACCGUAAGAUUGCAAUUGAUACUGGCUGGCUUGAGUGCAGUAGAGGUAGUUGGAAUUCGUAGUGUAGCGGUGAAAUGCGUAGAUAUCACGAAGAACUCCGAUUGCGAAGGCAGCCUACUAAACUGCCACUGACGUUGAGGCUCGAAAGUGUGGGUAUCAAACAGGAUUAGAUACCCCAGUAGUC
rnacentral:rRNA from 1 species